ensembl:snoRNA
AUCCUUUUAUGGAUCAUAAGCAUUAUGAUUGAUUUUUCACACUAAAGUGUGAGAUGUGCCUCCUUCAAGCCUUUUUAUAACAUUGGCACAUUACCCACUGAAG